GCGGCAGCAGCGGCCGUGGAGGUGGCGCUGGGGGCUGUUUUCUCUCGGAGGCCGGAGCGGAGCGGCGUCUGACUGAGGCGGGCGGCCACAGGCCCCUCGCCGCCUCCCUCGCCGCCUCCCGCGCGCCGUCCCCGCCGCCCGCCGCCAGCCGCCCGCCCGCCCGCCGCCGCCGCCGCGCCGGGGAGGAGCCGCGGCCCGCGCGGCCGCAGCCAGGCCUGCGCCCCGGACACCCGCCGGAGCCGGAGCGAGAGCCGGGGCCUCGGCGUCCCCGCCCUCUCCCCGCCUCGGCCAGCGUCCGCCGCGCCAUGGACUCGGACGAGGGCUACAACUACGAGUUCGACGAGGACGAGGAGUGCAGCGAGGAGGACAGCGGCGCGGAGGAGGAGGAGGACGAGGACGACGACGAGCCGGACGAUGAUAACCUGGACCUGGGCGAGGUGGAGCUGGUGGAGCCCGGGCUGGGCGUCGGCGGGGAGCGGGACGGACUGCUGUGCGGGGAGACGGGCGGCGGCGGCGGCAGCGCCCUGGGGCCGGGCGGCGGCGGUGGCGGCGGCGGCGGCGGCGGCGGCGGCGGGCCUGGGCACGAGCAGGAGGAGGACUACCGCUACGAGGUGCUCACGGCCGAGCAGAUCCUGCAGCACAUGGUGGAGUGCAUCCGGGAGGUCAACGAGGUCAUCCAGAAUCCUGCAACUAUCACAAGAAUACUCCUCAGCCACUUCAACUGGGAUAAAGAAAAGCUAAUGGAAAGGUACUUUGAUGGAAACCUGGAGAAGCUCUUUGCUGAGUGUCAUGUAAUUAAUCCAAGUAAAAAGUCUCGAACACGCCAGAUGAAUACCAGGUCAUCAGCACAGGACAUGCCUUGUCAGAUCUGCUACUUGAACUACCCUAACUCGUAUUUCACUGGCCUUGAAUGUGGACAUAAGUUUUGUAUGCAGUGCUGGAGUGAAUAUUUAACUACCAAAAUAAUGGAGGAAGGCAUGGGACAGACUAUUUCGUGUCCUGCUCAUGGUUGUGAUAUCUUAGUGGAUGACAACACAGUUAUGCGCCUGAUCACAGAUUCAAAAGUUAAAUUAAAGUAUCAGCAUUUAAUAACAAAUAGCUUUGUAGAGUGCAAUCGACUGUUAAAGUGGUGUCCUGCCCCGGAUUGCCACCAUGUUGUUAAAGUCCAAUAUCCUGAUGCUAAACCUGUUCGCUGCAAAUGUGGGCGCCAGUUUUGUUUUAACUGUGGAGAAAACUGGCAUGAUCCUGUUAAGUGCAAGUGGUUAAAGAAGUGGAUUAAAAAAUGCGAUGAUGACAGUGAAACUUCAAAUUGGAUUGCAGCCAACACAAAGGAAUGUCCCAAAUGCCAUGUCACAAUUGAGAAGGAUGGCGGUUGUAAUCACAUGGUCUGUCGUAACCAGAACUGUAAAGCAGAGUUUUGCUGGGUGUGUCUUGGCCCUUGGGAACCACAUGGAUCUGCCUGGUACAACUGUAAUCGCUAUAAUGAGGAUGACGCCAAGGCAGCCAGAGAUGCACAGGAGCGCUCAAGGGCAGCCCUGCAAAGGUAUCUCUUCUACUGUAAUCGCUACAUGAACCACAUGCAGAGUCUACGCUUUGAGCACAAACUGUAUGCUCAGGUGAAGCAGAAGAUGGAGGAGAUGCAGCAGCACAACAUGUCCUGGAUCGAGGUGCAGUUCCUGAAGAAAGCGGUGGAUGUCCUCUGCCAGUGCCGUGCCACACUCAUGUACACUUACGUCUUCGCCUUCUACCUCAAAAAGAAUAACCAGUCCAUUAUCUUUGAGAAUAACCAAGCAGAUCUAGAGAAUGCCACAGAGGUGCUCUCGGGCUACCUCGAACGAGAUAUUUCCCAAGAUUCUCUGCAGGAUAUAAAACAGAAAGUACAAGAUAAGUACAGGUGAAUGAAUGCAGGCAGUAGUGCUCGUGUAGCAUGGAGAAGGAAUUCAGUCCUUUUCUACCCUGUGAGGCAGAAGGACGUGAGGACCAUGGAUACUGCGAGAGUCGUCGGAGGGUUUUGCUACAGCAUGUGCAUGAAGGCUAUGAGAAAGAUCUGUGGGAGUACAUUGAGGACUGAGAGUGGCCCCGCAUAAAAUGAACUCUGAAAUCUUUACCAUCUAGAGUGCUCAUGCAAUUAAAACAAACAAAACAAACACAAACAAGGAGGCACUAAGCCUAUUCUGACACGACUGGUCUAUAGUACCAGAAUUCUGUUUUGUUAACGGAAAGUUUAAGUAAAUUAUAUUGUAAUAAAAAAGGUAGAUAAACCAUUGUACAACAGUAUUCUAGGCCGCCAACAAAAGUGUGACACACACUAAAAGCCCUCCAACUUUAACUUGUAACGUAGCUUCAUUCUCAAAGCUGACUCCUUGUUUCUUUUUCUUUUCCCUGAGUGUAGUACAGUUAAACUUUCCAACAGCUCCUUGACACUGCUUUUCAUGUCCAAACCAGACAUUUUGUUGUACUUUGGUAAAGGCCCUCUUCCCUUUCCUACCCACACACACAAUACGCCCACACACACAGACUGACUCUCUUACUCAAAGUCAUGAGUGAACGAUUACUCCUUGUGAAGAAAAUUCUUGGGACAAGGAAGGGGGUAGGCAGCAAGAGGAUUAAACAAACAAAAACAAAAUACUUUGUAUAUGACUUUUAAAAACAAGAGGACAACACAGUAUUUUUCAAAAUUGUAUAUAGCGCAUAUGCAUGGACAAAGCAAGCGUGGCACGUGUUUGCAUAAUGUUCAAUUACAAAAAUAUUUAUUCUUUAAAAAUCUUCAAGAUUAUGUCUAUUUGCUGUGCAUUUUCUUUCAGUUUGUUUAUCUUUCCAGGGUUGGGUUGGGAUGAAAGGAGACCUCUGGAGACCCAGGGAAAGCUCUGGGCACUUCCUUUCCUGGCUGCUUUGCCCUUCCUGAUGCUGGUGUGUCUUGUGGCCCUCGGCUUCACGCCUUGAAGUCCCAGCUCUUGAUCACAGGGACAGGGAGGCUGUGCCCAGACUCUGCCACGGCCCAAAAGGGUUGCUGUGGGGAUUCGUUGCUGCAGUUCCUAAGUGAUCCUGUCCCCAGCCGGACCCCCCGGGGCCACAUCCUGCACACUGCUUCAGGCUUCCCAAGCGCCCUUUCACAUCCUGAGGAAGCAUUUCAGAGUUUGUUUUCCUUUUUGCUUUUCCCUUUGUUGCUACUUCGAGCCUUUUAAAAUUUCAGUUGUGGCUCUUAUCUCACCCCUUCUCCUACUUAGGGCAUCAAGCAGAAUGUUUUUGCUUUAAGUAUAAUAAAUAGCCAUUCACUUAGUCUCAGAUUGUGAAUUUAAAAAUGGCAGAUUCUGAGAUUGCUUGUGUGUGUUGCUGUGGGUUCUGUUUGUUUGAAGGCAGACACCACUAGAACGUGAUAUAUUCCCAUCUAGUGCAUUUAAAUAGAAAUCACGGAGUUUACUUCUUUUCUAUUGUCAGCAUAUAGGAGAAUUAAUAAUGCAUUUUAGCUGUGAUGUCCAUUUUUAUGAAAUUUCUACUUCAGAGCUAUGUUAAAAGUAAAGGAUGGUGGUGGUUUUAUUAACUAUACGCCUGUUUGGGCCAUUCUGGCUGUAAUAUUUUUCAACAGGUCAGCAUCCCUGCGUCUGUCAGUUUUCUACAGGAAUGCAGAGUGAACUAGGCAACCAGAUGAGAGGUCUGCAGAAGCCUCUCUGUCUUCCUUUAGCUGCCUCGUGCUGGGGGGUGUUUCCCACUUGGAGGCAGCUCUGUCUGCUCUUGGCACUGUCCAUCUUAUUACUCCAUUGGGAAGUAGCUUCACUUUCCUCUGGCCUUUUGCCUAAGUUAGGCUUUGCUGAGUCAACCCUACUUUUCCUUUUAGAAAAGGUUGUUAAAUGAGAUGUACUUGCAACUGUUCUUUUCCCAUCAACAAUCAGUGAAUGUUUGCUGAGUGUAUUAUGCUGCUUCCUUAAACCACUUGUUGCCUGAGGGCCUGCUCCCUGGGCGUUUCCUCCUCUCCUCCCCGGCCACCUCGGGUGCACAUCUGAAUUCAGUGUCUGCUUCUUCCACGUUCUGUAGUCUCCCUUCCCUGCAUCCUGCCCUUGCCUCCCAUAUCAUCCAUUUGACUUUAUUUUACUCUGAAUGACUGCAUCAAUCUUAAGUCAUUUUCAAAAGUAAGGAGGUUUUUGUUUUUGUUUUUUUUUUUUUUUUUUUUUUUUUUUUUUUUAAGAAAACUUGAGUAAGUUCCUUUCCCUGGUGACUUUGAAAAGCAGCCAGUGUUGCUAUAUAGAUAUAUAUUUGUCUCCCUCAGAAUGCUUUGUGUAUGUGUGGUUUUUAAAAGUCUCACGGUUAACUUUGCAGUAUCCAGGUUUGAGUGUCAUAAACCCUGUUGACACGCCCCCUCGCAACAAAUAUCCAAAGACAGUGUGUGUGCUUCUUACCGUCAGCCCCGCCCACAGGGGACUGCCUUGGUGGGUGUGUCUCCACGUUUACAUGGAUUGAGGUGAACUGGCCUUUUCUGCUUCCAGGCUUCGAGCAGCUGUCUCCUUGGUGGACAGAAUUCCCCAAGUUGGUUGCUCUUGUUGUCAGCAGCUUCAGUACCCCAUCUGAGACAGGCAGGUGGGACAGCGGGAUGCUUCCCCAUUGCACCUGCUGCGUCUUUCCGUCAGAGGGCGCUCCCGCACAGUAAGCGCCAGAGUCUCCCUGGCGUCUCAAGGUUAGUUCCGUUGUCUUUGGAAAAGUGCAUGCUUCAUUUGAACACUUAAUUGAGCAGCGAAUGCACCUACCGUGAUUAAAAUUUUGAUCCAAAGCUCAGGACACAAACAGGAUGGAACAGCUUAUGUUAUCAUCCAACUCUAAAUUCUGUGUAAUUUGCUGAGACCAGGAUUGUGUGUGUUUUAUGUGUGUGUAAAUGAACACCUUAGAUGUACACGUGUAUACACAUAGGCAAGAGACCCAAGACUGACUUGUAUUGAAACAUGGAAUUGGCUGUGUGAUAUGUGGUUCAGCAUGAUUAGGGACUGAAAUUUAGUUGGAGAGAGAAAAGAAAGUAAUGUAACAAGUACUUACAGCUACAAAUCCCGGUAUUAUAGAGCACUUGGGGGAUGGGAUGGGGUGGGUUGGUGAGACAAUCAGAUUGGUAAAUUGAUGAAAUGCUCCUAACCCUGUAAUUUUGUGCAUAGAGCACCCUGUGCUGUGGAAAUAACUGUUCUUAGAUUUUCAUUGUAACUGGACUGUUCAGGUUGCCCAGAGGGAAAGAACAUUCCUAAUUCUAAUAAAAUAAACUUUUAUUUUGUUAUUCCA